AUAAACUACAUUGCAUUGACUUUUGGCCUAUUUUACACACAAAAUUUUGAACUGUACAAUGAUAAUAUAUCACAAUAACGAAGUCAGGUAGAUGUUAUCUAUGGAGCUUUCUAAAUAACCAUUUCCUCCGCUGAUUUACAUCCAUUCCCACAAACACCUUAGCCUUUUUCUCAUUUUCUAGAAGUUGACAGGCUUCCAAGAAGAGUUCGUCGUCCAUAUCUGGUAUAGCUUGAAGUGCAUCAACAAUGACUUCAAUUGACAUAUGUUCUUUUGCCUCCCUACUUCCCAUUGUUUUGACCACGUCCAGCUUCCGACCAAGUUCUUUUGGAUCCUCCAUCUUCUGUCUUUGAACUUUCCUAGAAGCCACUGAGGUUGACGUCGUUACAAGUUUCCGUUUUUUUCUGUGAUCAUAUGUCUCAAAUUCUUCAGUCAGAUUUACAUCUGCAUUAAUUCCUUCGAGCCCCAUGUCUAUGUCAAUCUCCAUUUUUACACCCAAAUUACUUGAUCUUCCAACGGGCACUUCAUUACCAUAAAUAACGCAAAGAACAUCAUAACUACUUAAGAUUUGAUCUCUGUACUUGAUUGCAUAUGGAUGUUCCUCGAUAUAAGAUUGCCAAUCAUCAUCAGCAGCAAUUAUUUUUUGCUCAGUUUCAUCCCAAGAAAAACCAUUCUCAUUGAGAAGAUCUGUGAUGUUUUCAUACUCUUCCAUCAAGCUAAGGUACCAGCUUUCUGCAGCAUCUUUUUCACAGAGGAGGCCAAACUUUUCAUUAAAUAAGGCAAUUAUCCAGGACCAUGCAUGCUCGUUGAAUGUCUGACCAAUCUUAUUUCCCUUAAGCACCCACUCUAACAGAAGUUCAAUGAAAUAGGCUUCCAUUGUCUUUGUCCAAUUUACUUGUGAAGGGUGGUCAAAAUCAACAGGGGAUAGGCCAUCAUCCUCGCAAAAAUUUAGUCCCAGAACAUAGUCAUCAGCAGCCAUUAAGUGACAUGAAUGGUCGAGUCUUGCAUUAUUGUUUGUACCUCCAAAUAUCAAGAACAAGUCAUUAUAAUUUGGGAGAGUUCUAUUGCAGUAUGACCAGGCAUCCAGGUUUUCCUUCAAAUAAGAAUUCCAGAGAUCAUCAUCAGCAAUUAUCAUCUGUCUCAGUUCAUCCCAAGCAAAUCCUUUCAGAUCAAGUAAAUUUUUCAUACCAUUGAAUUGCUUCCUCAAAUUCAUAAAACGACUCUUUAAGAAAUCUUUGUCAUGCUGAGACCCAAAUUCAGCACUAAACUUUGCAGCCAUAUCACUCCAUGCUUGCCUAUUAAAUCUUAGAUUAACCAUACUUCCUUGACGAACAUGCUCUAGCAUUAGAUCAAUGAAACGUCGGUCCAUUGGUGGAGUCCAAUCAGUUCUCCAGCAAUAGCUAUUGUUAAGUUUGGCUGGACCUGAUUGGUCACCCCCUCCUCUGUCUGAAGCUGAAUUUCCAUAAAUCAAGAACAAGUCAUUGUAAUUUGGCUUUCGAUCAGUUCUAUAUGAAAUGGCAUCUGGGUUUCCCUUUAUAUAAGUAUCCCAAACAUCAUCAUAUGCCGUAACCAACUGCUGUGAUUCAUCCCAAGAAAAUCCUCUCUGGGUAAGUAGAUUCUUCAUAUCAUUGAACAAUUGCCCUAAAGUUUUAUGACAACCCUUCAGAACAUCUUUGUCAAGUUUUAGUUCAAAUUUUUCCCUGAACAACACAGCCAUAUCUAUCCAAGCUUGAUUAUCCAGAGUGUAAUCAAUCUUAUUCCCUCUAAUCACUUGAUCUAAUAAAAGGUCGAUAAAAUAGCGAUACAUCGAAGGUGUCCAAUCAAUUCUUGAACAAUCACCAUUUGUAUAGCAUUGAACAUCCUCUCCAAUCGUAAAAGCUGGCCCUUUGCUGUCAAGAUCCACAAUAUGAGCUCUAUGACUGUGUCUUCCAUUGGAAAUUUCUUCACCGAAUAUAACACAUAACUUGUGAUAGCUCAGCACAGGUUUAUUUCUAUAUAAUCGAACAUCAGGAUGUACCUUAACAAAAGAGUCCCAAACAUAAUCUUCUGCAGUUACCAUCUCUCGACUCUCAUCCCAAGAAAACCCAUUCUGCUCAAGCAGAAGGUUUACAUCAUUGUAUUGCCUCCUCAAAUGUAUGUACCGAUUCUUCAGAAUUUCUUUCUCAUGAUGUGUCCCAAAUCUCUCAUUGAACAACUUGAUCAUUUCAAUCCAAGCCUCAGUUGUCAAUUCAUGACCAAUUUUAUUCCCUCUAAGUGCCUGGUCUUGCAGCAAAUCAAUGAGAUAACGAUCCAUAGCAAGUGUCCAGCACAGGCCGAAACCAUUACUUUGAACAGAAAAAUGAAUGUCCUUUUCUUCACCAGACCUAACUUGCAUGGUGCCAUCUUCAAAGCUUUUAUCUUGGCGUAGAUCUAAGUGUCCGUUGACAACUUCAUUUCCAUAAAUCAAAUUCAAUUCCCGAUAGUUCAGUAAUGUCUUCUUUCGGCAUAAAUGUGCACCUGGGUGUGCCUGGAUAAUCUUUUCCCAAAGAGCAUCAUCAGCCACUAUCAUUUGUUGUCUUCCAUCCCAAGAAAAUCCUUUUCUUUCAAGUAGGCUUCUGAUAUCACUAUAGUACUUGAACAAUUUCUUAUAACGUCGCUUCAAAAAACUUUUUCCAUAUUGAGAACAAAAUUUUGCGUUGAACAAAGUGAGCAUAUCUUUCCACGCUUGUUUGCUGAAUGUCCUAUCCCUUUUAUUUCCCCUUUUAAGUUGUUCCAACAUAAGCUCAACAAAAUAUCGGUCCAUGGCCAGUGUCCAAUCUGUUUUCACACGCUCACUACUUGCUGGAGCAAUGCAACCGAUAUUGAGCCCCUGAAUGUCAUCAUCUAUGUCUACAUCAUGACUUGAAAGGCUGUAUCUUCCAUCUGCAGUUGUAUAUGCAUAUAUCAAGCACAGAUCGUUAAAGUUCAUCAAAGACUUCCUCUUGUAGAAUUGUGCAUCAGGGUGGACCUGGUCAUUUAUACUUUAUCAAUAAAAUUUUAUAAAUAUGGUCAGAGACAGGGGGAAGCAACAGAGUGAAAAAUGACUUAGUGGACCUUGAUGAAGGCAUCCCAGACAUCAUCAUCAGCCAUCACCAUUUUCCGACCAUCAUCCCAAGAAAAUCCAUUCUGUUCAAGAAGAUUCUUCACAUCAUUGUAUUGCUUCCAUAAAUUUGUAUAAUGACUUUUCAAGAUAUCUCUGUCAUAUUUAGUCCCAAACUUUGCAUUGAACAUGGUCAGCAUAUCUGUCCAAGCUUGCUUGUUGAAGGUAUGACCCAUUCUAUUGCCCCUGUGCAUCUGAUCUAGCAUAAGAUCAAUAAAAUACCGUUCCAUUAUGGGUGUCCAAUUUGUCCUUGUCCGAUCACCACCCUGAGGGACUUGGCUGCCCAUUUCCUUCCCCUACAAUAUCCAAACUUUGGUUGCAACAAAGUUUUGGUUAUUCAAUGCUAGCCAGCAAUACUAAAAGAAAACCAAUUUAGUUGUUGGUUCAUGAAUAUAUUCUUCUAUCAUUGGCAAGCAUCCUAAACCGCAGAACACCCAACCCAUUACAUUAGAAAAACUGCUUUACACAGUUCUGGUAAUGGGGAGGGAAGUCUAAAGACAGUCAUAUUCCCUGCAUUUCCACACAAAGCAGAUCUCUUGCACCUCAAACUCAAAACAAGCCCAAGACUCAGACAUUGCACUAGCCAAUGGCUUCUAUACAUUACAAAACCAUACAACAUAUAUGCACAUGUUGGGAUGUACAAAGGAUGUGAACAAACGUUCGCCCAUCACACACAUGAUACACAAUUUGCGAGUUCAAAGAUGCAAGCAUACAAUUCAAACACAAAUGAAGCCCAGAAAUGACACAAUUCAAUCUCUAAUUUUAACAAAAUUUAAUCAGAAGAAACACUUUGCUUGUUACCAAAAAAUCUGAUAUAUGGAAAUGGGAAAGAAAAAAAAAUAGAAAUUUGACUUAAAAAUCAAAAGAUAACACAACAUCUUUUUUUUUUUUCCAACAUUUUCUAAGUAACCAAAAUCGAAUCAUACCAUACACGGUUAAAAGUAUAUGCUAUCAGAGGUAGAGGGGAUAAUUCUUAGUACCUGCUUUCGGUAGAGAGGAUAAUUCUUAGUACCUGAUUUCAUAAAGCAGAUGAGAUAAGAGAUCGAAAACGGGAAAACUGUAGGCGGGGCGGGGCCGGGCGCGGCAGCUAUGCGGAUCUUUUGCAGCUGCAGCCUGCAGGCCAGUCUAGGCUGAAUGGGUACGAUUAGUUGCUUCGCGCAAC
rnacentral:misc_RNA from 1 species